rnacentral:rRNA from 1 species
GGGGCAACCCUGGUCAGUGGCGAACGGGUGAGUAAUGCAUCGGAACGUGUCCCGUAGUGGGGGAUAACCCAGCGAAAGCUGGGCUAAUACCGCAUAUGCUCUGAGGAGGAAAGUGGGGGACCGCAAGGCCUCACGCUAUGGGAGCGGCCGAUGUCCGAUUAGCUAGUUGGUGGGGUAAUGGCCUACCAAGGCGACGAUCGGUAGCUGGUCUGAGAGGAUGAUCAGCUACACUGGGACUGAGACACGGCCCAGACUCCUACGGGAGGCAGCAGUGGGGAAUUUUGGACAAUGGGGGCAACCCUGAUCCAGCCAUGCCGCGUGCGGGAAGAAGGCCUUCGGGUUGUAAACCGCUUUUGGCCGGGAAGAAAAGGCGCCAGUUAAUACCUGGCGUUCUUGACGGUACCGGCAGAAUAAGCACCGGCUAACUACGUGCCAGCAGCCGCGGUAAUACGUAGGGUGCGAGCGUUA